rnacentral:rRNA from 1 species
UGGGGAAUAUUGCACAAUGGGCGCAAGCCUGAUGCAGCCAUGCCGCGUGUGUGAAGAAGGCCUUCGGGUUGUAAAGCACUUUCAGCGAGGAGGAAGGUGGUGAACUUAAUACGUUCAUCAAUUGACGUUACUCGCAGAAGAAGCACCGGCUAACUCCGUGCCAGCAGCCGCGGUAAUACGGAGGGUGCAAGCGUUAAUCGGAAUUACUGGGCGUAAAGCGCACGCAGGCGGUUUGUUAAGUCAGAUGUGAAAUCCCCGGGCUCAACCUGGGAACUGCAUUUGAAACUGGCAAGCUAGAGUCUCGUAGAGGGGGGUAGAAUUCCAGGUGUAGCGGUGAAAUGCGUAGAGAUCUGGAGGAAUACCGGUGGCGAAGGCAGCCCCCUGGACGAAGACUGACGCUCAGGUGCGAAAAGCGUGGGGAGCAAACAGGAUUAGAUACCCCGGUAGUCCACGCUGUAAACGAUGUCGAUUUUGGAGGUUGUGCCCUUGAGGCGUGGCUUCCGGAGCUAACGCGUUAAAUCGACCGCCUGGGGAGUACGGCCGCAAGGUUAAAACU